rnacentral:rRNA from 1 species
UACGAAGGGUGCAAGCGUUAAUCGGAAUUACUGGGCGUAAAGGGUGCGUAGGCGGUUAGUUAAGUCUGUUGUGAAAUCCCCGGGCUCAACCUGGGAAUGGCAAUGGAUACUGGCUGGCUAGAGUGUGUCAGAGGAUGGUGGAAUUCCCGGUGUAGCGGUGAAAUGCGUAGAGAUCCGGAGGAACACCGACGGCGUAGGCAGCGCCCUAGACGAGACCUGACGCUCAGGCACGAAAGCGCGGGGAGCGAACAGG